rnacentral:rRNA from 1 species
AUUGAACGCUGGCGGCAGGCCUAACACAUGCAAGUCGAGCGGCUGAAGGGAGCUUGCUCCUGGAUUCAGCGGCGGACGGGUGAGUAAUGCCUAGGAAUCUGCCUGUUUGUUUGUGAUUACGUCCUGAAACGGGCGCUAAUACCGCAUACGUCCUGACGGCGAACGUGGGGGAUCUUCGGACCUCACGCUCUCAGAUGAUCCUAUGUCGGAUUAUCUGGUUGGUGGGGUAAAGGCCUACCAAGGCGACGAUCCGUAACUGGUCUGAGAGGAUGAUCAGUCAAACUGGAAAUGAGAAAAGGGCCAGACUCCUAAGGGAGGCAGCAGUGGGGAAUAUUGGACAAAGGGGGAAAGGCUGAACCAAGCAAGACGCGGGUGUGAAGAAGGUCUUCGGAUUGGAAAGCACUUUAAGUUGGGAGGAAGGGGAGUAAGUUAAAAACUUGCUGGUUUGAAGGUAACAAAAGAAUAAGCAACGGCUAAAUUCGUG